ACUUGGUCCCUGCAGCUCCAGAGGCGAUCCUGGCAAUUACAGACCGGUAAGCAUAAUUUCAGUACCAGGCACAUUGGUUGAUACUAUAGUAAAGACCAGAAUUAUCAGACACACAGAUGAACAUGAUAUAUUGAGGAAGAGUCAACAUGGAUUUUGUAAAAGGAAAUCAUGCCUCACCAAUCAAUUAGAAUUCUUUGAGGGGGUCAGCAAACA